AAAAACAAACAAGGGCAUACGGGGAAUGCCUAGGCUCUGCAAGGCGAAGAAGGACGUGAUAAGCUGCGAAAAGCCGCGGGGAGGUGCAAAUAACCGAUAAUCCGCGGAUAUCCGAAUGGGGCAACCCACCAUAUAAAUGGUACCUCGAAACGAGGAGCGAACCCUCUGAACUGAAACAUCUAAGUAAGAGGAGGAAGAGAAAACAACAGUGAUACCGCAAGUAGUGGCGAGCGAACGCGGCACAGCCCAAACCGGACACGUUUAGGCGUAUCCGGGGUAGUAGGACUGCGAGAUACAAGUAUAAAAAGAACCGGAACGGCAUGGAAAGGCCGUCCGUAGAAGGUGAAAGACCCGUACGGGCAAUUUUUAUACGCGUUAGCAGUACCCUCAGUAGGUCGGGGCACGAGAAACCCACACUGAAACCGGCGGGACCACCCGCCAAGGCUAAACACUCAGCAGAGACCGAUAGUGAACAAGUACCGUGAGGGAAAGGUGAAAAGAACCUUGAAUAAAGGAGUGAAAAAGACCCUGAAACCGUAUGCCUACAAGCGGUCGGAGCCCAUUUAUUGGGUGACGGCGUGCCUUUUGCAUAAUGAUCCUACGAGUUACUGUUACCGGCAAGGUUAAGCGCUUCAGGCGCGUAAGCCGCAGCGAAAGCGAGUCUUAAAAGGGCGAAUUAGUCGGUAGUAGUAGACGCGAAACCUUGUGAUCUACCCAUGGCCAGGUUGAAGUGGGGGUAACACCCCAUGGAGGACCGAAUCGGUAAGCGUUGAAAAGCUUUCGAAUGAGCUGUGGGUAGGGGUGAAAGGCCAAUCAAACUGGGAAAUAGCUCGUACUCCCCGAAAUGCAUUUAGGUGCAGCGUCGCGGUUAAGUGAUAUAUAGGUAGAGCUACUGAUUGAAUGCGGGGGCUUCACCGCCUACCAAUUUCAGACAAACUCCGAAUAGUAUAUCACAUACGCGGCAGUGAGGGCAUGGGUGCUAAGGUCCAUGCCCGAGAGGGAAACAACCCGGACCAACAGCUAAGGUCCCCAAAUAUACGCUAAGUUGAAAAAACGAAGUAGAACUGCACAGACAGCCAGGAAGUUGGCUUGGAAGCAGCCAUUCUUUUAAAGAGUGCGUAACAGCUCACUGGUCGAGCGGUUCUGCAUGGAGAAUAAGCGGGCAUAAGCGUAUUACCGAAACCAUUGCAGAUAACAAUCUGGGUAGGGGAGCAUUCCGUACAGCGCAGAAUCGGUAUUGUAAAGUACCGUGGAGCGUACGGAAAAGCAAAUGUAGGAAUAAGUAACGAUAAAGCGGGCGAGAAACCCGCUCACCGAAAGACCAAGGGUUCCCCGGCUAUGUUAAUCAGCCGGGGGUCAGUCGGGCCCUAAGGACAAGCCGAAAACAGGCUACUCCGAUGGACAAACGUUUAAUAUUACGUUACUCGUAUCGAGUGCGACGGGGCGACCUGGUAAUACCUCUUCGCGUGCUGACGGAAUAGCACGUUAAAGACUUUACUGGGCCGGGAGGCAAAUCCCCCGGCGGAAAGGUAAAGUUGAUAGUACACCCAAGCUACGGCGACGGUGAUAGCAAGACUAAAGAUCAGCAAGAAAAACCUCUAAGCUUCAGCUCGAUACGACCCGUACCGGAAACCGACACAGGUGGUCGAGAAGAGAAUUCUAAGGUGCUCGAGAGAUUCAUGGCUAAGGAACUAGGCAAAAUAGUCCUGUAACUUCGGGAAAAAGGUCACCGCAGCAAUGCGGUCUCAGAAAAUAGGUCCAGGCGACUGUUUAACAAAAACACAGGACUUUGCAAAAUCGAAAGAUGACGUAUAAGGUCUGACACCUGCCCGGUGCUGGAAGGUUAAGAGGAGAUGUCCGCAGCAAUGCAAAGCAUUGAAUUGAAGCCCCAGUAAACGGCGGCCGUAACUAUAACGGUCCUAAGGUAGCGAAAUUCCUUGUCGGGUA
rnacentral:rRNA from 1 species